GCCGCGGCGCUCAGCUGGCCAAGAGGGCAGUGACUUCCGGGGCGCCCGAGGACGGGUCUUCCCGCCCCCCACGUUCUGGCGUUCGACGGGCGGGGCCGGAGCGAUGACGGUUGGUGCUGCGGUGGCCGCGACCCACCUUGGAAGACUAGGGGAAUGUUAGGGAGCAGGGGGGGUCUGAGGAAAGCGGUGCGGGCGACAAAAGGAGCGGGCAGGCGGGGGACCCCUAACGUUCGGGGGAUGUUGGCAGAAGUGGAAGAUGAGACUCACGGCUUCUCUGAGAAGAUACCUCUUUUUCCUUCUAGAGAUGGAGCCUCAGGACAGGGCAGUGGACCUUGUCGCAGUAUUUUACUUUCUACGCCUUCCCAUUCUCCAAACGCGGCUGCCUUAGCUUUUCUUUCAGAGGCCCAAGCCACUAUGUUGGUCCAUUUUUCCCUCUGAACCUGUUGCCUCCCUCCCCCAAUUUUUUUAAGCCGCAUUAGAUGUUUUGUUUUGGGUGUUUGUUUCUGACGCAGGGUUCUGCUUUGUAACCCAGGCUGUCCUCGAACUUGUAGAUUCGCGUGCCUCAGUUUCCCAUGUACUGGUUCUACAAGAAACACCACACCCAGCCCUGCCACCUUCAUGCUUCAACCAAACACUUGCCCUCUAAAAAUGAGACAGUUCAAAACUGAGUAGCUUGCUUUAAAAUACAUAUAUUUUAUGUAUAAUACAUAUGUAUAUAGUGUGUGUGUGUGAAUUUAGUAGCAUUAACAUUUACAUCGUUAUUCAGUCUUAGUUUAUCUUCAGGACUACUUGAUCUAGUAGAGAACUGAAACUUUCAACAGUAAUGUUGGUUCAUCAAGGCAACUACAUUUCUCCUGUGACUGGCUUAUUUCACUUAACAUGGCUCAUUGUGUUGUAGCAUAUCAGGCAUGUGGUUCAGCAAUUCCACUUCUCAGUAUAUAGUCCCGAAGUAUGUCUUUAAAGGGAUGUGUGAACAGCUAUUUAUGCACUCAGCAUUUAUAGUAUAUACAAUAGUCAAAACGUUAAAAAUAAAUGUCAUAAGUUAGUAAACAAAAUGUGGUGUAUAAACACAAUGGAAUGUUUUUCCAUUUCCUUUUUCUGGGUGGGGGAACCAGUGAGACAAGUUCUAGCAGUUGCCUGGACUGGGACUUGUGGCAGUCCUCCUGUCUCUGCCUCCAGAUGUUGGAAGCCUAUGCCCCACACCUGGUUCCCAUUUCAUUUUCACUCUGAUGUGUAUCUGUCUUCACCAUGAAAGUCAUGCCAUUGGGUGGGUGGAUAUGGGGGACUUUUGGUAUAGCAUUGGAAAUGUAAAUGAGUUAAAUACCUAAUAAAAAAUGGAAAAAAAAAUAAAAAUAAAAAUAAAUACUGGCAAAAGAAAAC
rnacentral:lncRNA from 1 species